ensembl:snRNA U6 U6 spliceosomal RNA
GUGCUCGCUUCGGCAGCACAUGUACUAAAAUUGGAAUGAUACAGUGAAGAUUAUAAUGGCCUGUGUGUGACGAUGACAUGCAAAUUCAUGAAGCAUUCCAUAUUUUU